CAGUAGCCGCGGUAAUACGAAGGGGGCUAGCGUUGUUCGGAAUUACUGGGCGUAAAGCGCACGUAGGCGGAUAUUUAAGUCAGGGGUGAAAUCCCAGAGCUCAACUCUGGAACUGCCUUUGAUACUGGGCAUCUUGAGUAUGGAAGAGGUGAGUGGAAUUCCGAGUGUAGAGGUGAAAUUCGUAGAUAUUCGGAGGAACACCAGUGGCGAAGGCGGCUCACUGGUCCAUUACUGACGCUGAGGUGCGAAAGCGUGGGGAGCAAACAGGAUUAGAUACCCCUGUAGUCCCUGUCUCUUAUAC
rnacentral:rRNA from 1 species